AGGGAAUCUUGCGCAAUGGGGGAAACCCUGACGCAGCGAUGCCGCGUGAGUGAGGAAAGCCUUCGGGUUGUAAAGCUCUGUUAUUAGGGAAAAAUGGUAUUAUAAUGAAUAAGUAUGAUAUUUGAUGGUACCUAAGGAGAAAGCACCGGCUAACUUCGUGCCAGCAGCCGCGGUAAUACGAAGGGUGCAAGCGUUGUUCGGAAUUAUUGGGCGUAAAGGGCGAGUAGGCGGAUAAACAAGUCAGAUGUGAAAUCUCGGGGCUCAACCCCGAAACUGCGUCUGAAACUGUUCAUCUAGAAUAUCGGAGAGGGAAGGGGAAUUUCGCAUGUAGGAGUAAAAUCCGUAGAGAUGCGAAGGAACACCAGAGGCGAAGGCGCCUUCCUGGAAGAUGAUUGACGCUGAGGCGCGAAAGCGUGGGGAGCAAAC
rnacentral:rRNA from 1 species